CCCCCGCAGCAAGCAAGCUUGCUACCAGGCUCAUUUGCAACCCUUGCAUUUGGCUGAGUUGCACCCCCGGAGAUCAGCUCUGGAGGGAGUCACGCCCCAGACAGAUUCCCAGAUACCGAGGAGUUAGAUCCCCGGGCCCCCAGAGACAAGUCGACAGAAUGAGAAACCGCCGUUUCCCAAAGACACGCAGCAGUGAAGAUUCUCGCUCAGAAGGCCCUGCAAAAUCAAACAGGGAGAAAGAGACAUCACGCCCCUCCCCUCGCCACCCUGUCUGUCCCCCUGGUUCUGCCAGAACUCCACCGGCUUGCCAAGAGCCACCCAGGAACAGAUUUCCUGUCUCAUCUGCUGCAUCUGGUCGUCCACUCCUACUCCCUGUUCAUCCCCCCCAAAGGCACUGCUGGCCACAAACCCGCU